rnacentral:ncRNA from 1 species
AAAGUUUUUUAACUUUAAUAUUUAAGUAAAAUUUAUAUAUAAUUAAAUUUUUGUAUAUUAUUAUAAAAAUUAAAAAUUUGAUUAAUUAUAAUAUAAAAUAUUUUAAUAUUAAAAAUUAAAGAAAUUUAGAUUUAGAAAUUAAUAAAUUAAUAAAAUUUGUGCCAGCAAUUGCGGUUAAACAAAUGAUUUAUAAAUAUUUUUUUAUUUUAAUUAAUAUUAAUAUUAUAUAAAAUUAAAAUUUAAUUUAUUAGGUAAAAUUUUAAAUUAAAAAAUUUUUAUAUUAAAUAAUAUAUGAAAUUGAUAAAAUAAUAAAAAAACUAGGAUUAGAUACCCUAUUAUUAUUAAAAUAAGUGAAAUAAUAAGUAUUAUUAGUUAAUUCUAUAAAUUUAAAAAAGUUGGCAGUAUUUUAAUCUAUUUAGAGGAAUUUGUUAAUUAAUUUGAUAAUCCACAAAUAAAUUUACUUAAAUUAUUUAAUUUGUAUAUUGUUGUUAUAAAAAUUUAUUUAAAAAUUUAAAAUUUAAAUAUUUGAAAUAUAUAUUUAUAUCAAAUCAUAAUGCAGUUUAUAUUUAAGAUUAUAAUGAAUUAUAAUAAAUAAAUUUUUGAAUUAAAAAUUGAAUAUAAAUUUUUAUGAAAUUAGAUUUAAAUGUAAUUUUAUAUUAAUUUGAUAAAAUGAUUUAGUUUUAAAAUAUGUACAUAUUGCCCGUCAUUUUCAUAUUAUAUUGAAACAAGUCGUAACAAAGUAGAAUUACUGGAAAGUGUUUCUAGAAUGAU